rnacentral:rRNA from 1 species
UCAAGCUACAAAGAGCACAAGGGGAAUGCCUUGGCACCGAGAGCCGAAGAAGGACGUGACUAACUGCGAUAAGCUGCGGGGAGCCGUAAGUAGGCUUUGAUCCGCAGAUUUCCGAAUGGAGCAAUCCGGCAAGAGGAAAGUCUUGUCAUCAUAUACUGAAUACAUAGGUAUAUGAGGGGAACCGCCUGAACUGAAACAUCUAAGUAGGGCGAGGAAGAGAAAUCAACUGAGAUUCCGUAAGUAGUGGCGAGCGAACGCGGAAGAGGCCAAACCGAGAGUAGUAAUACUUUCGGGGUUCGGACAGAAAACGGUAUUGUAAAGGUUUAGUGGAAUGGAAUGGGAAGUCCAACCGAAGAAGGUGAGAGUCCUGUACACGAAAAGCCUGAACAGCCAUCUGUAUCCAGAGUACCGCCGGACACGUGAAACCCGGUGGGAAUACGGGGGGACCAUCCUCCAAGCCUAAAUACUACUCGGUGACCGAUAGUGAAGAAGUACUGUGAAGGAAAGGUGAAAAGUACCCCUGACGGGGAGUGAAAAAGAACCUGAAACCUUGUGUUUACAAGCACCGAAAGCUCAUCAAAGAGCGAUCGGGUACCUUUUGUAGAAUGGUCCGGCGAGUGAAUGUAACCGGCGAGGUUAAGCACUUAAGGUGUGAAGCCGCAGCGAGAGCAAGUCUGAAUAGGGCGUAUGAAGUCGGUUGUAUUCGACCCGAAACCGGGUGACCUACCCAUGGUCAGGUUGAAGUAAAGGUAAAACUUUAUGGAGGACCGAACCGACUCCCGUUGAAAUGGUAGCGGAUGAACUGUGGGUAGCGGAGAAAUUCCAAUCGAACCCGGAGAUAGCUGGUUCUCUCCGAAAUAGCUUUAGGGCUAGCCUUGAAAUAGAUUACCGGAGGUAAAGCACUGAAUGGGCUAGGGGCCGAGAGGUUACUGAACCCUAUCAAACUAAGAAUGCCGGAUAAUCGUUUUUCAGGAGUCAGACAGUGGGAGAUAAGUUUCAUUGUCAAAAGGGAAACAGCCCAGACCCACAGCUAAGGUCCCCAAGUAUAGUUAAGUGGAAAAGGAUGUGGAAUUGCACAGACAACCAGGAUGUUGGCUUAGAAGCAGCCACUCAUUAAAAGAGUGCGUAAUAGCUCACUGGUCGAGUGACUCUGCGCGGAAAAUAUAACGGGGCUAAGCAUGAAACCGAAGCUUGGGCUUGUACUUAGGUACAGGGGUAGGGGAGCGUCGAGUAUGGGGUGAAGUCAGAGCGGAAGCACUGGUGGACUGUACUGGAGUGAGAAUGCCGGAAUGAGUAGCGAGAAUUAUGUGGGAAUCAUAAUGGCCGAAAAUCUAAGGUUUCUUGGGGAAGGUUCGUCCGCCCAAGGUAAGUCGGGAGCUAAGCUCAGGCCGAGAGGCGUAGGCGAUGCACAUACGGUAGAAAUUCCGUAACCACCGAAACUUAAACAGAGGGACACUUCGAAAUAGCGGAACCCGGGCGUUGGUUGACCCGGGCGAAAGGGAGCGAAAUUAGAGUAGCGAAGUCCGCGAUGUUCGGAGGCGAGAAAAGCUCUGAGGUAUGCUAAGGUGCCCGUACCGCAAACCGACACAGGUAGAUGAGGAGAGAAUCCUAAGGCCAACGGGAGAAGGGUUGUUAAGGAACUCGGCAAAUUGACCCCGUAACUUCGGAAGAAGGGGAGCCCCCUACGGGGGGUCGCAGAGAAAUGGCCCAAGCAACUGUUUACCAAAAACACAGGUCUAUGCUAAAUCGAAAGAUGACGUAUAUGGGCUGACGCCUGCCCGGUGCCGGAAGGUUAAGAGGAGAUGUCAGGCAACGAAGCAUUGAAUUUAAGCCCCGGUAAACGGCGGCCGUAACUAUAACGGUCCUAAGGUAGCGAAAUUCCUUGUCAGGUAAGUUCUGACCCGCACGAAAGG